rnacentral:rRNA from 1 species
GUAGGGAAUAUUGGGCAAUGGGCGAGAGCCUGACCCAGCCAUGCCGCGUGCAGGACGAAGGCUUUCUGAGUCGUAAACUGCUUUUGACAGGGAAGAAUAAGCCUCACGUGUGAGGUGAUGACGGUACCUGCAGAAUAAGCACCGGCUAACUCCGUGCCAGCAGCCGCGGUAAUACGGAGGGUGCGAGCGUUGUCCGGAUUUAUUGGGUUUAAAGGGUGCGUAGGCGGCCAUUUAAGUCCGGGGUGAAAGCCCGUUGCUUAACAACGGAACUGCCCUGGAUACUGAGUGGCUUGAGUACAGACGAGGUUGGCGGAAUGGACCGAGUAGCGGUGAAAUGCAUAGAUACGGUCCAGAACCCCGAUUGCGAAGGCAGCUGACUAGGCUGUUACUGACGCUGAGGCACGACAGCGUGGGGAGCGAACAGG